rnacentral:rRNA from 1 species
GAUGAACGCUGGCGGCGUGCCUAAUACAUGCAAGUCGAGCGAACAGACGAGGAGCUUGCUCCUCUGACGUUAGCAGCGGACGGGUGAGUAACACGUGGAUAACCUACCUAUAAGACUGGGAUAACUUCGGGAAACCGGAGCUAAUACCGGAUAAUAUAUUGAACCGCAUGGUUCAAUAGUGAAAGACGGUUUUGCUGUCACUUAUAGAUGGAUCCGCGCCGCAUUAGCUAGUUGGUAAGGGAACGGCUUACCAAGGCAACGAUGCGUAGCAGACCUGAGAGGGUGAUCGGCCACACUGGAACUGAGACACGGUCCAGACUCCUACGGGAGGCAGCAGUAGGGAAUCUUCCGCAAUGGGCGAAAGCCUGACGGAGCAACGCCGCGUGAGCGAUGAAGGUCUUCGGAUCGUAAAACUCUGUUAUUAGGGAAGAACAAAUGUGUAAGUAACUAUGCACGUCUUGACGGUACCUAAUCAGAAAGCCACGGCUAACUACGUG